rnacentral:lncRNA from 1 species
UCAUCAGCGGAUAACAGGACCUUAGAUUGAAUCCCUGCCCUUGCACACAUUGAAUUGCUUAAGGACAAAUCAGGUGAAACCAAAUCCUGGGAUUUAUAAAGAAUUAAUUCGAAUUUCACUGGGCCUCUACCUGACCAGUUGAUCUGUUUUGCCAAAAUGAUAUUGAAUACAUGAAUGAAGAUGCAAUGCUUGAUUUUAAUAUUGAAUCUAUUCCCAACAAACGAGUGCAGAUCAAAUUCACUCAAAAAGUAAAAAUAACUCCCGCGUGACUCAUACUGGGUUUUCCUUUUAAGAGACAUUAUGCCAACAACCAAGCCAAAUUUUAUUUUAAAAUGGUUACACAGUCUUGCUCACGCUAAGUGUUCACAUAUACAUAAUUAACUAGCUAAAGUAAUCAACAACCAUCCAAAUCAUCUCGAAUCACGUUGAAAUCAAAUUUGCAUUCCUGAAUCCUAAACAUGCUCGUAUGAACAGAACUUCAUGCCGUAACAACUAGAAUUUCCAUUUUUUUGCUAACUCACAAAACAUACGAAUGCAACAACUGAUUGCAGCUAACAUAUAAACAAAUAUCAAGAUAUAUCAACCUAGAGCUUCGACUACUACUUGCAAGACCAAAUCUGAGUGAUUCUCAGCCCGACAUUCACAAAGGCUAGAACCUUGAUGCAACACCAAACAUAACCACAAAUAGUUAAAGUCCAUUGUUCAAUUAUGGACACAAAUGCAAAAUACAACACCAAAUCAUUAUCACAUUCUAGAUUUCAGAAGGAGUAUGAGGCCCUAACUAACAUUUAUUACUUGAGCUCUAACUAUAGAACAUGAAGCAGUAACAGGGAGAAGAGAAAUUCAACUUGAAAUAAAGUCUUCAUUUAACAAGACUUCAACUCUUUACAUGCUCAAUAAUCAAAUACCAACAAUGAGCCAAGGAAAUACCUGGAUAAAAACAAAGGAAAAGGUGAGGAAUGCAGCAAUUACAACAACAGAUCGAUCUCAGAUUCAGGAAAUUAAAUUCUCAAAGUAUGAAACCAACGAAACAGUGAUUUCAAAAUAGCUUGGCCUAGAACUUUCCAAAAAAUCAACCUCAAACCAUUUUAAAUCAGAAGAUUUGCUCCAGAAAUUCAAAGAGACCCCAAAGUUUGAGUUUAAACUCAAUGAAACAGUAACUUUCAAUAUCUAGCCGUCUGAAGUUUUCUGGAAUUUUUCAGUUGUUAAUCUUUUGGAACAGUAGAAUUUGCAAGGUUUUUUUUGUAUUUUUUCUGGGUUCUUCAGCUCUCUAAACUCUUUCCUAAGGUAAGAAAUGGUGCCUUUUAUAGGCAAGAACAUAGGGCAGCCUUUCAGAUUUAGAUUUUUACCCCUGCCCCUUUUUGAAUUUUCAUUUUAGCUUAGGUGACCCACACUUACUGACUUGUAACUCAAGUUUAAUAACUACAAAUCUGAAAUUUCACUAAUGCCCCUCACUAAAAACUUCCAAAUCUAUUAUGAAAAAAUUCCCUGACCUAGAUAUCCUAAACUACCCUUUUUACCCCUAAAAAUUACCUCAGAUACCGAACCAAUAGUUCAACCAGACAUGGGCUUAAAUCUGACCCAAUAACCUAAAGUGGGGUCUAAAAUGGCUUCAAAUCCCAAACAACAAUAAUGAAACCAAAUCAAUAAUAUAUGCCAAACAGAGAAAAUACUUAAAAGAUUUCAAAAACUAAAACCUAAACAAAUUGACUGAUUAAUUAAUACAAAUAGGCAUCAAUUAACUAAGUUAUCCAUAUAAACCUAAUAAAAUUAAACUAGAUGACAAAACAAAAGACGAAAUCACAACUUUAAUCAAACUAAUAACAAAACUUAAUGGGCCAAGAAACUCAGAUAACAAGCUUUCACAGUUUGAAAAAGAAAAAAAGGAACAAACGAACAUAAAACAAUUUUAACUCAGAAGAUGGUCGAGUCUUCAGCCAGAGUAAAAAAAAUCUAACUAAAAAAAGGGAGAGGAAAAGAAGAUGAAACGGACAAAGAGAUGAAAACACUCAUCAUUCAGAAAUCAAAAUCCUACCGGAAACCUUGAUUUAACGAGACUAAUGUUGGACAUUUGUUCUUUGUCAAGAACAACUGAAUAACAUCAGUUCUCGCGGAAUGAAAACUUUAAAACUCGAUAGAAACAACAACAUAUGCUCAUGCAUGCCACUGGGUUUGAUGGAAAAUGAAUUUAGACUUUUAGGGCUCAAACUCGGAUUUAAGAUUCGAUGAAUUCUAGAUAGAUUCGAGGGAAACCAAUAAUGAAUUAAGUGUGAGGGGGUCAUGGGGGUUGUGUGGUUUUGAUUUGGGGUCGAUUGGGACCGACGUCGCCACCAAAGACGGUGAGAAUUUUAGGAUGGCAACUAGGGUUUGAAUUUUUUGUUUGAAAUUUGAACACUUGGGGUACAAUUUGAAGGGAAAGAGGUAUGGAUUUGAGAAGAAGGGAAGGAGGAGAAGCUGUGGUCUAUUUUUUGGGGGUGGUUUGGAGACUCGCCGCCGGCGGAGGUAGUGGAGGUUUCAUGGGCGGAGUCUCUAGGGCUUUCGAGGGGUAAGGGAGAUGAGAUACGAAGGGGGUAGGGGGUAGCCUUGGACAAUUUUAUAUUAUUGACACCCGACUUCUGAGCCGUUGGAUUGUCCAACCUCGACGGCUCAGAUUUAAUGAAGCAAAAACGGCGUUGUUUGGUGGUAAAGGGGAGCCGGAGUGGGUUAUAAUAGGGUUUGG